ACGAAGUAAUUAAAUAUUUCUCGUAUAAUAGCAGGGAUAUGGCCUGCAAGUUUCUACCGGAUUACCUUAAAUAAUCUGACUACGAGUGAUUGGGAUAGCUAU
rnacentral:ncRNA from 2 species